GUAAUCUUUUCCUGCUAGACUGCGUUAGUUGGGAAAACUUCACAAUCCUAAUUGCUACGGACGUGUAGACACUGAGGCUUUACCUUGGUCAUGUCAGAGGACAUCAAAGCUGAAGCUGAUGGUGUUAAAGAUCGAUUCGAAAGAAGGUAAAGGUUGAGUGCAACAAAAAUGGCACCAUCCAUCACUUGAAGAUGUUAAUUGCUGCAUAGACUUGAAUUGGCAAUAGAUUUUUGCUAAGGAGCCUGGGGAAUCCUCCAGUUUACCACGCAUAUCGGGAGCAGAAUAGAGUAGCGGAUCUGAUGGCAAAGUAAGGCUCUGAGUCAAACCUUUUUUACAGACUGGAUGUUUUUGCAACUCCACCAAUUAGUGUAGGAGUAGUUUUUUGAGAUGAUUUUAAGGGAAAAUCAUUCUCCCGUUGUGUAUCUAGUAACGGGAAUGGAAAUCCCAACAGUUAUGUUUUUGUGCCUAGCUAGGCCUUGCUUUGUAAAAAACUCAUUACCUUUAUUUUAAUGCACUUCUAUUCCA